rnacentral:RNase_P_RNA from 2 species
GUCAUCGGCCGGACGGUCGCGAGCGGCGACGCUCGAGGAAAGUCCGGGCUCCACAGGGCAGGCUGCCAGGUAACGCCUGGGCGCACCUCUUCGGGGGUGCGACGGACAGUGCCACAGAAAACACACCGCCGAUGGCCCCUCAGAAGACCGAGGGGAUCAGGCAAGGUUGAAAAGGCGGGUUAAGAGCCCACCGCGCGCCCGGUAACGGGCGUGGCAGGGUAAACCCCAGCCGGAGCAAGGCCAAAUAGGCGGCGAGAGACGGCCCGUCUCGUCAGCCGGUGUGUCAUUCCGGUGAAAGCCGGGAGCGCCAUCGGCACAGCCGCGGGUAGGCUGCUGGAGGGUCCGGGCGACCGGAUCCCGAGAGAAAUGACCGUCCGGUCUCCGUCGCGGCUCGCCGCGUCGGGGGCCGACAGGACCCGGCUUACAGGCCGGUGAUCGCA